CGGACGGGUUAGUAACACGUGGAUAACCUACCUAUAAGACUGGGAUAACUUCGGGAAACCGGAGCUAAUACCGGAUAAUAUUUUGAACCGCAUGGUUCAAAAGUGAAAGACGGUCUUGCUGUCACUUAUAGAUGGAUCCGCGCUGCAUUAGCUAGUUGGUAAGGUAACGGCUUACCAAGGCAACGAUGCAUAGCCGACCUGAGAGGGUGAUCGGCCACACUGGAACUGAGACACGGUCCAG
rnacentral:rRNA from 1 species